rnacentral:rRNA from 1 species
UACGUAGGGGGCUAGCGUUGUCCGGAAUCAUUGGGCGUAAAGAGCGUGUAGGCGGUCCGGUAAGUCCGCUGUGAAAGUCGGGGGCUCAACCCUCGAAUGCCGGUGGAUACUGUCGGGCUAGAGUGCGGAAGAGGCGAGUGGAAUUCCUGGUGUAGCGGUGAAAUGCGUAGAUAUCAGGAGGAACACCGGUGGCGAAAGCGCGUAACUGGGUCAUAACUGACGCUGAGGAACGAAAGCCAGGGUAGCAAAAAGG